GACCUGAAUUUUAGAGAACAACAUGAUAAUGUCAUGGGAGAACUUCUUGUACUAUAAAAUUACAUGAGAACAAUAACGCAGCAAAAUAAACCUACUCCAGCAAAGUCAAUACCUUCACUACCUUGAUUGCCAGCGAAGAUAAAAUGAACUUUAUGGAUGCUCAUUAUUGUCUUCUGUUCCAUUUAGAAUCUCCCGCAUGUUUUGGACUCUGAAGAUCCUUCUCCAUUGAGUGAUUAUUUUGUUCCCACUUAGGACUUGAAGCUUUAGCAUCUGGCAUCUCCUCAACUUGUCCGGAGAAAAUGCAUCUGCGUGAGGAAGACAGAUUCGUCCGUGGCCAAGUGCAUCUCUUUGGGUAAAGCUCCAAUUUUGGCUAAACCUGGAAUGGUUGAUUCAUGGAACCUAAACACUCUAAAGGUGAUAAUCUAUUCUUGAUUGGUUAUUUUACAUCUUUGCAGUUCACACCUAAUAUGUUUUUUGUUCACAAAAGCUUAGCUAAGCAAGCAAAAGUCACUCCAAGUGGUCAGAAAUACGUACCUUCUACUAAUUUGUUCAGUCAUGUCACUAGAUUUUAAGGCUUAGGAUUCGCUUGGUUAUACUACGCACCUAUUUAGUUUUUUCUUUAAAAAGUUCUGUUUUAUAAGAAUAAUAUGUUUAUAAAAUUACCAUUUUACAUUGUAGAUUAUUUAUGAUUUAAGGAGUAUAUUAACUAAUUUAUGAGUGACUUGUACUUUAUGUGAGAGUAUAAUAAUUUUAUCUUUGUUUUCCCAAACAAUACUACAACAAACAACAACAACAACAACAUCAUCAAACUUUUAUUCCAUUACGUGGGGUCAACUACAUGAAUCCCUUUCCCAAACAAUACUACAAAAACACAAAAAUAGCACAACUAAAUUAUAUAGAAUCUCAUUCUUUUAAGUGUUAAAAGAAGAAAAAAAAAAGUGUUAGAUUUGUAAACAUUCAUGAUCUUAUUGGCAUAUAUGUAAUUCUCCCUUUUAUUAUUCUGAUUAGCAAAAACUUUGACAUAAUAAAUUUGAUCUUUGUGAGAAACGUGCAUAGGGGUGGACCUAGCCUUAAUUUUACGCGGGGGAGUUGAAGUUGGCUCGACUCUUAUUUGUUCAUAUCUAUAAUCAUUGUACGCUUUGCAGAUAUGUCAGGGAUCCAUGGGUUUGACCUGAAGUGGACCAAAUUUUUGUUGUAAGGAUAUUUUUGAAUUUUCUUUACUAUUUCUCUUUGUAUUUGGUUUAUCGUUUCCUAACAAUAACAACUCUACACAAUGUGUUUGAUUA